AUUGAACGCUGGCGGCAGGCCUAACACAUGCAAGUCGAGCGAGCGGCGGACGGGUGAGUAAUGUCUGGGAAACUGCCUGAUGGAGGGGGAUAACUACUGGAAACGGUGGCUAAUACCGCAUACCAUCAGAUGUGCUCAGAUGGGAUUAGCUAGUUGGUGGGGUAACGGCUCACCUAGGCGACGAUCCCUAGCUGGUCUGAGAGGAUGACCAGCCACACUGGAACUGAGACACGGUCCAGACUCCUACGGGAGGCAGCAGUGGGGAAUCUUGCGCAAUGGGCGCAAGCCUGAUACAGCCAUGCCGCGUGUGUGAAGAAGGCCUUCGGGUUGUAAAGCACUUUCAGCGGGGAGGCGUUACCCACAGAAGAAGCACCGGCUAACUCCGUGCCAGCAGCCGCGGUAAUAC
rnacentral:rRNA from 1 species